rnacentral:lncRNA from 1 species
AGGGAUCUCAGCCCCCUGUGAUUGAGCCACUCUGCUUUGCUGACUCUCCCGAAGUGCCAGAAAGUGUUUACAGCACCAGCGAUGUCCAGCUGAAUAUCAGAGAAUCUAAUAGGGAAAUGAUUUUGGAAAAAACACUGGAAUGGAAAAACCCAUGGAAAUGGAUACUUCUGGAUGUGUUUUGGAUGCUGUUGACCUAACUGGGACCUUUCAGCUGCAUGGACUCUUGUACCUCCCUCAUCACCAACAUUUGUGAGGGCAGGAGUCCAGAGUGUGACCCAGGGCUACCUCAGGUUCCAUUGGAGCCCUCUGUCCUUUGGCAGUGGGCUGUCCCUGUGUCCGUGUGUCUGUGCAGAGGUGGAGGGCACCCACUCCUCCCUCCAAUGGCACAGCAUGCAGCUCUAUUGCACCAGCACUGCACCACAGCCCUGCAGGAACUCUGCUCCAAGGCACGGCUCAGAGGUUCAGGGAUCAGGAGAGAUCCCUGGGAACUGGAACUGACCCCAGCCUUACCCGUGUUCCUCUCUGGCUUUACAUAAAGCUGGCUUGACCCUCAGCUAGCACAAACAAGAAAGACAAGGAGGGAUAAUUGCACUGUAAAUGCCCUGCAAAUCACGGCAGGGAGGAGUUCCAUCAGGAUAACAAACUGCAGUCUGUGGAAAGCCAUUUGUUGCAGGGGCCAGCAGGCUGGGAACGCGUGCCAAGCAGUGUGUGUGCUGUUCUGAGGUAACCUGGAGCCAAGGUGUCCCACAAAGAUCCACCAGCACCAGCAGCAUGAGCUCCAGCCUCACAUGGCCCCUUCCAGCUUGCCCACGCCAGGGCCUCGUGUUCCCACAGCAGAUGCCCGAGCCUUGUGUUUGCUGGCUACACAGAUACUCCGAGGGAGGACUUAGGAACCACCAAAGGCCAUGGUGUUUCCAGGGGCAUUGGAAGGCUUCCCUCAGGCUGGAGAUGGCCAGGCUGGUCCAUCCCUGGGCAGGGAAUCUGGUCCAGCCCAGCUGGGUGAUGUGGGAUGGGGCUGCUGGAGGAGGAAGAGCAUCACACCACUGCGAGCUCACAGCCCCCUCCACUCUGGGCCUUGCUCUAACCAGAGAGAAAUCCUGACAGAAACCUAUUGGAAAAAACCCACAUCCUGGCAGAACAACGUGGCUGCUUUAUGCUGUGGCAACAAACGUGACCAGAUUUUCCCAGAGCAAGGAGUCUGUCAGGGAUUGGGACAAUGACUACAGCCUGGUGUCACACACUGUCCUGCCUGGACAUUCCGACCUUCUGCUGGAAAUGAGGCCACUCCAGUGGAAGAAAGAUAACGUGUCUCUAAACUAUGAGUUGUUGUGUGAUGGGUUUGUGGUUUUUUUUAUUCAAUUCAGCUAUUUAUAAAUGUGAUAGACCUCUGUUUCUCCUGCCUCUUUCAGCACCCCACUGGAGAAUGUGUGAAAAGCUCUAAUUUCCCUUGAGGAAAAGAGUAUCUUGUGAUUUCAGUGAAAAGCUGUGUUCACACUAUGGUCAAUAAAUUCCUAUAGACAAUUUUGCCCCUUUGGAAU